AUAUGCGCCACCCUGUAUAGGAAUCGUAAACAAUAAUAUAAAUAUUUCAUAAAAAUAAGUUAAAACCUUGGACCGGUUUGUGAAUAAAUUUGAACCCUACUAUUUGAAGCAUUUACGUAUUUAGUUUUUCUGAGCAAAACCUUUGAACUUAUAGGUUUCUUAAUUUGUAUACAAAGUGAGGGAUCUAAAAAAAUGUGUACUAUUUUUAUUGCAAUGUAAGGACUUUAGAGUUUUCUGUUAGUCUCUUCUUUAUACAAUUUCCAGUUAAACAUUUUUAUUUUAAGAAUUAACUUAUGUGAAUAAUUUUUUAUUGUUGUAUGUCAAAUCAGGCUGGAAAACUACCCCCAGUUCCUAACUCUAUUGCUGUUGGGAGGCCUGCAACAUCCCGUCGUGGCAGCAGUUGCUGGUACAACCUGGUGUCUCGGCAGGAUCGCCUACGCUAGGGGCUACUACUCUGGAGAUCCCUCGAAGAGAAUGCAGGGAGGAUUUGGCUACUUUGGUCUGUUUACUCUGGUCGGGCUGACAGUGAAGCUGGGUAUCAACACACUCGGGUGGAUGUAGACAGUUCGAGUGGUUGUGUAAAAGCACUUAGUUUUUUCCACAAAUAGAGCUGAUAAGAUAAAAAUUGUGUCAAUUCAUUGUCUGCUUUCACUUUUGAGUAUGCUAAAAGUACUAAUAUAUGACACAAUAUGCCUUUGUCCUAAAAAAUAAGUGUUCUGUAUGCGUACAAAGAUUUAGCUUUAUACUAUUUAAAAAAAAUUUGUUACUGUUCUCCAUUUUGAAUCAUGUAAAGAAGAUUUAGUCCACAAAGAAACAAGUAAAAAAGCAUGUUCCCUGCAUCACAGAUUAUACCCAAGCAAUGAAUACAUUUUGACCUUAUGGCUCGAUAUUAAUGUUUUACUUUUAGCCUAGCAGCGCAACGUUGCUUUUAUCCAAAGUCUGCGUAUCAAAAUAACAGUUUUGUUAAGAUUAAGUUGUACCCAAACUUGAAUUAUAGUAUUUAAUAGGAAUUUUAAACAGUUACUUAUCAUAAAAACAUUAGUAAUUUUCAAAUCAAAAGACAGUAUAAUGUAUUAAAAGAGUGAGCCUACAGGAAACUAAUUGUCUAAAAGGUUUUUAUAUAACGUAUGUGUUACAGAGGAAGAAACAGGUCUUUCAGUGUUAUUUAACGCACAUAUACUUAUAUUUUAUUUAUACUUGUUAUCAAUUUUGUUACAUUUGAAUACAAUUUUAUUUCUAUUUAUCAUGGCAGUUGUGGAUAGCCUGAGGAUAAUUCUUUUGAUAGUGUUAGUAAUAUAACACUUACAACCAAUUUAAAUUUAAAUUCAGUGUAAUUUAUGUUAUGAAAUAUCUAUCUAUGCUCUUAGAUGUUUAUUUCUAGUAUUAGUUCUCUAGUAGUAUAUUAGUGUGUAUACAAUAGUAUAUUAGUUCUCCAUAUCAACCAAUUACAUUCUAUUAAUUGUAUGCAUUAUGAGCAGUAUUUUGUAUUUGAAACAUAGAAUAGAUGUUGAAUGAUUGUUUCCAAUAGAUGUUGAAAUGAUCGUGGUUGAUCAGUGUAAUGAGUAUAGUUAAAGCAAUACUAAAACACUAAUCACCAAAUCCUACCUUAAAAGCGUGCCGACCAAUCCUACCUCCUUAGCUGAGAAUGUGAAUGAUUUAUGUUAUUGAUGUAAAGGAGUGUUAAAUACCUAUUUAUCUUGUGAGACUUUUAUACUGUGUUCCUGAGAUUUAUAAAUGCUGUACAUGUAAUAUUUUGUGAUUGUUAUCUUGUCAAAAGAAAUAAAAACUUUUGGCUUA
rnacentral:lncRNA from 1 species